GCAUAAUUUUUUGUGGUGCAUUUACUUGAUUGGUGCUUGGGGAUGUUUGAGGCAGAUUUGUUUCCGUCGUUUUGAGGCCAGCUUGCUGGUACCCAAACGGUGUUAGCAUUUUUUGUCUUGGRCAUUUGAGUAUGGCUCACGUGUAUUUAUUGGACAGAUCUGAGUGUAAGUUACGGUCGCAUGCGACACGUGCUUUUCAAUUAGUUCGGUCCAGUUAAUGCUCUCGUACUCGUUCCCCAUGUAAAAGCCGGUCAUCUAUCCGACCCGUCUUGAAACACGGACCAAGGAGUUUAUCGUGUGCGCAAGUUUUUGGGUGUUAAAAACUUAAAAGCGAAAUGAAAGUAAAUGACUCUUUAGAGUCUGAUGUGCGAUCUUGUAAAAAAGUGUAGCAUGGCCCCAUUCUAACUGUUUACAGUAGGGUGGCGGAAGAGCGUACGCGGUGAGACCCGAAAGAUGGUGAACUAUUCCUGAGCAGGACGAAGCCAGAGGAAACUCUGGUGGAAGUCCGAAGCGGUUCUGACGUGCAAAUCGAUCGUCUGACUUGGGUAUAGGGGCGAAAGACUAAUCGAACCAUCUAGUAG
rnacentral:rRNA from 1 species